GUAACGUGAUACGGACUCUUCUCAUUAGUGCUGUUUACAAAGGUCAUUUAAACCUGACCAGUGUCAUUGAGUCCUGCAGAGAUUUGAGCGCUUAUACCCUGACAGCUGAUCUCUUCAUAAAACACAGCACCACAGGGAGCCAUUUAUGACCGACGCUAUAAACACCAAUAGAAUUUUGGUGAUUUAGCGCAUCGGUGGCCAUCAUCUGUCAUAUGGAGCAGAGCAAAGCAGUUGACGUUCCACAACAAGAUGGCAUCAGGAAUCGCAUAAUAAGUCCUUAGGAGAGAAAAACACAGCGCAAAUUUCAAACUACAGUUGGUCAAAUCAUUACAAAACAGUAGGACAGACGCCAAUAGAAAUCUGCACUGCGCACUGAUUUCUGUCAUUUCUACUGACAGUGAAAGACCUCGGCUGAGAUGGCCAAAGGCAGAAGGAAAUUCAGGCCCUUAACAAAUCACCCAGGCACUUUCCACAUCUGCUGCAUGUCAGCAUCUGCCAGACGCGCUCACCCGUCCCGGACGCUCACAGCAAGCCUUCAUUACUCCUGCUGCUGAACAGGUCUGACCUGAGAUAAAAAAGGAGCACCAGCACAUACUUUAUGCCUGCCAUCAGAGAAGGUUUUUGUUGGACUCUGGAGGAGCAGGUCAGGAAUGAAAGGCCAUGUUUGACACGGGGAAAGGCCUCCAAAGCUGAGACCCAUAAAUUCCACCAGAUG
rnacentral:lncRNA from 1 species